UACGUAGGGGGCAAGCGUUGUCCGGAAUCAUUGGGCGUAAAGCGCGUGUAGGCGGCUUGGUAAGUCUGCUCUGAAAGCCCGGGGCUCAACCCCGGGAGGCGGGUGGAUACUGUCAAGCUCGAGUCCGGAAGAGGAGUGUGGAAUUCCUGGUGUAGCGGUGAAAUGCGCAGAUAUCAGGAGGAACACCAAUGGCGAAGGCAGCAUCCUGGGAAGUUCCUGACGCUCGGGUGCGAAAGCCAGGGGAGCGAACGGG
rnacentral:rRNA from 1 species